rnacentral:lncRNA from 1 species
AUGAGCAGCGACUAGAGACUGACCAGAGCAGGGAGUUUGGCCACCUGUUGAGGAGUGAUCAGAUGGCACUUAAAACGCAACGCACAGAAGGUAACACAAUUGUAAGAAUUCUUAGCUCAUUCAGAAGUAACUUUUAUUGGUCACUUGCUUGUUUAAUAAUCAAAAGCAUAACGUCAGCACAAAAGCACAGAAAGCUACUCUGGUAAGACACAGAGUCUCUGCCACUCGAGAUUACAUAGAAGAGAUCACCAAGAGGUCAGUGUGGAGACGAAAUCCCCGACCAGUGCUGCCACCAACAGAGAAUGUCACAGCAGCCGUGCACAAGCCAGACUCACGUGUGCACAGAGCCACAUCUGUGGAGACUCACCUGGAACAUGCUUGUCUCUGGACACCUGAACACCGAUGAGCAAGGGGCAUGGCCCUAACAAGGCACAGAUGGGCUGAUUGACAUGACCCAGAAGCAGAAACAAAAACAGAAACACAGACUCGGGGUAAAAGACGACGGAAACAGUUGGCAGAGCUGAGGGUCUCCUGCUAGGGCUUCUCUGCAGGAGCCAAGGAAAGACACACCUGGUGCUGCACAGACCGCACGGUGUUGUCUCAGGCAGGGCACGUAACUGGUUUUAGAAGAUGACCCACUGAGACAUCUCUGUGGAAUCUACAAAACUGGUCAAAAUGCAAUAUUCAAAUAGUUGAGCUGUAGCUCCCAUGCUUACGAAGCGAGCAUGUGUUAAUCAUUUAUUAUAGUGAGGGAACUAGCAAAAUGUUAGAGCUGGUUUGGUUCCUGAUUUCGGUUUUAAAUUGCUUUUCUUUAAUUGGCAUCCUUUUAAUACAUUUCUUUUUUGUGUUUAAAUUGCCCAGAUUUGGUUUCUGUUGCUUGUAACUAAGAGACCUGACUACUACACAAAUUGAUACCAUCAUUAAUUGCAAACAACAGACCUCUAGAGGAAGGAAGAAAAUUUUGGAGUGUUAUCUAGCUUUGUUGGAGCUGAGGGCCAUGAAAAUGUAGCUAAGAGAUACGACUCUGGCAGCUGAUGCUUGAUGAGCUCUCCCGUGAGGUCCCCUGGAAUUCACGGUCCCAUGAAUUCAAGGCUUUAGGGAGUGAAGGCGUGCAUUGUCUGUAGAGGAUUUAAAAACAUUAAUGCAAGUAACUACAAGUUGGUUUGAUUUUUAUUAUCACCUUGUACCCACAUACCCAUCCCACUAGCUUUCUUUGGCCUCUGCAGAAAGCAGGUUGGGUCUUGGAGAAAGAACGAUGAAGAGUAGUAACUCCUGUUACAACCACCGUUGCAAUACCAGUCUUUUUGCUGGAGAAAAUCAGCACAGGACAUCGCACUGGCCCGCUGUAUGGAGGAUACUGGCUGAGAGGAGCUGCAGAGCCAGAGGAUGCAUUGGUAAUUGUAAUAUUUCAACUUUGUCAACUUUGGUGACAGAGAAAGAAAAACCCAGGGAAACAUUCUACAAUCGUCUUUCUGAAACUGGAGAUGACACCGCAGUAGGUUUCAGCCUCAUGUCGUCUCCUGUCUCCUUGACAGGCCCUCCUUGGUUACCCGCCUGGAAGAAGUCUCCCCACCCGGUGUUGCUACGUAUCACAAGACUUCGUUUUCUUUCACUGUAAUUGUCACGCUUUCGACCGUUUUGCGUGUUUACUUUAUUUCCAAAUCUCCUCACCUGCACCAGAUUUAACAAAUCCUCUCACUGAGGCUGACCUGGCUCCUGCUGAUCUGAGUGCCCAGCAGCCAGCAGCCUGUGAACACCGUGUGUGUCACAUGUGUUGGAGGGGGCACUGAUUUGUCCCCAACAGAGUAGACACAUCAAGCUGUGGCCCAGCGUGCUCCUGUCUGGCCAGCACCUGUGGACUGACUGAGGGUCUCACUCACCAUGGUUUUGCCACACUGCACUGCUUCUGACAAAAGAACCUGCUUUAAGGGGGAAGGAGCAGAGCAAAUGCACCCAACUGUCCACGUGACGUCUCUUUCAGGAUGUUUUAAAGGCAUCUCAUGCUCAGCACAUCCAAACCAAACUCAUGAUCUUCCCCCGUAACCCAAGGCUCUUCCGCCAUUCUCUGAGUGAACGGUGCUGACAGCUCCCUGGUACCCAGACCAGAAACCUCAGCGCCAUCCUUGUCGCCUCCCCCUCUCUCAUCCUCAUACCUAAUCCAUUUCCAAGUCUUAUUAAUGUUCCCUUCUAAACAUUUCUUGAAUGCAUCCACUUCUCUCCGUUUCCUCCAUCCAUGCUGGGUGGAACUUUCAGGAUGACUCUUUGUUAUGGUAUUAAACAGAGACUGCCACAGCUUGACCCUCUUCUUCCUCGUUGCUGCUGGCAGUGUGGACGUGAGCCAGGGAGGUGCAGAAGGUCUCUUGUAAUCAUGAGGCAACAAGGACAAACACCUCUGUGCAGGAGGAUGCAAAGUGGAAAGACGGAGUGAGCCUGGAUCCCUGAGAGGUCACUGCGCCGCCGUGCCGGGCCUGGACCACCCGCCUGGACUCGCAGAGCCCUCGAUGUACGCUUCUCUCUAGUGUGUGAGGCAGCCGUCAUGAGGGUGUAGGUUUCACUUUCUGAGGAAUGAGAAUUAUGUUUCCAAACAGAAAGAAAGCAAUGAUGUUUGUCCCUUUGACUCAAGUUAGAACACUUCCAAAACCAACACACUCAAGAGCAACACCGUCUACUCUAAACCUAAUCCACAUCAAGAGAGAGGAGAAAAUAAAACUUUAUCUUUAUGUCAAAAGGUUCAAGAAUGUUUGAGAGAAUCAUACCUGUCUUAGAUUGAGUCUCAGCCCAUCGCCCUCCCCUCCUCCCAACACACACACACAUACACAUACAUAUACACAUACACACGCACACACACACGCACACACAUGAACAUACACAUGCACACACAUGUGUGCAUGCACAGACACACAUAUGCACAUACACACGAGCACACACACGCACAUGCACACACGUGCACACACACCUUUCUCUCCAAAUGUCCAAGAUACAGGAGCUCACAAAUCCCUAAAGGAAAGGAGAUACUCCCCCUUUACUGAGUUCCACACUUUGUGGCUGUAAAAGGACAUCUUAGUGGCCCAUGAAACCAUUUAUUAUAACAAAAGUGAGGUAUAACAAUAUGACAAAAUUUGAAAGUUUAAUGUGAAACCCUAACCUUAAUAACACCUUCACUCCUUGUUCAGUCAACAGUAGUGGUAACGGUACCCUCGCUCUUCACAACUCUUGUACGCACCCUCCGCCCUCAGAGUCUGGUCUCUAAGGCUCAUCUCCAAUGCACAGAUAUGACUCUUUGAAGAAUCCUAUAGCUUAUGACAGAAAAAAUGUCAAGAUGGAUCUGGAACAUCCUAUUUUUGUCCCAGGGUCGGAGCUAAAAGGAUGAAGUGGAAGGCAGUCUUAGGGGGUUCCAGCAGCC